rnacentral:rRNA from 1 species
UGGGGAAUAUUGGACAAUGGGCGAAAGCCUGAUCCAGCCAUGCCGCGUGUGUGAAGAAGGUCUUCGGAUUGUAAAGCACUUUAAGUUGGGAGGAAGGGCAGUAAGCGAAUACCUUGCUGUUUUGACGUUACCGACAGAAUAAGCACCGGCUAACUCUGUGCCAGCAGCCGCGGUAAUACAGAGGGUGCAAGCGUUAAUCGGAAUUACUGGGAGUAAAGCUCGCGUAGGUGGUUCGUUAAGUUGAAUGUGAAAGCCCCGGGCUCAACCUGGGAACGGCAUCCAAAACUGGCGAGCUAGAGUAGGGCAGAGGGUGGUGGAAUUUCCUGUGUAGCGGUGAAAUGCGUAGAUAUAGGAAGGAACACCAGUGGCGAAGGCGACCCCCUGGGCUCAUACUGACACUGAGGUGCGAAAGCGUGGGGAGCAAACAGG